UUCAGAGGAGCAGGGUGGGAGGGGGUAAAACCUGCAACCAAGAAAACAUCCCAAGAGUUGUAAACCAGGAGAAACUUCUCUUAUCUUCCCACGAGACACUUAUUUGCAUUCCAAAAGAGAAGACCACAUUGAUAGCGGCCAGAAGAGAGCUUGUUGAUGUCCGGCAUGAAUAAUGCCUGUCUGUGCCCAGAGUUUGCUCAGCCUGCCAUGGAUCCUUCCUGCUGGGGCACCUGCAGAAAUCAUGAAGGUGGGGAAGGAAAGCAUCCACCCCUGCCUAAGGUGAAACUGCAUGGAACCAGUUCAUGAUUCUCUACAGCAAAAGACGGUGGGAAACACUCCACUGAAGACAAUCCUGCUGCUUUUAGCCCCACUUCAUUUCCACUUCCAGAGUUACCUGGUGUCGCCUGGGCCUUUUGAGGUUUCUACAGAGUAGUUAGGUUGCUCCUGAGCUUUUCCCACUGCUGGAUGAGAUUCAAAAUUUUCAGAGCUAAGUCAAUUUCCAGCUGUCCUUCUGCUAUUCAAUCCCGACAUUGUAUUGAUAUUGUCUCCUCUACCAUCUCUUUGUCCUAAUGGUUUUUAAAGAGCACCUUAAAAAUUC